GGGCCUAUAGCUCAAAGGCGGAGCAGCAGACUCAUAAUCUGAAGGUUGGGAUUUCGAAAUUCCCUGGGCCCACCA
rnacentral:tRNA from 1 species